rnacentral:lncRNA from 1 species
CUUCACAAAGAAGCCUGAAAUUCAGAAUGCCUGAGGACCUGGCUGUGGUCACAGAGCUGGAGAGGGGUGUAUCUGACUCUGAAGACUUCACUCUCACUACAUUUCCUGGCCUGAGCACACGUCCUCAUGGGAAUGAUACAAUGGAUGUUUGGGGGAAUUUUUAAAAUUCCAUAUAAUUUGGAGAUUUCAAAGAAUAUUGAAACAAAACAAAAACAAUGGACAAAAAAAGCGCAAGAGCAAACACUGGACCUUUUGUUAUAAGCAGCACGAAAGAGGAAGAAUAGCCUGAGUGGACCUUGUUUUAAUAAGGUGCUUGCCCAUUCAGCACUAUGAAAACUUCCACCUCCUGAUGAAGAAAGAAGCAGACAUCAGUGGAAAGAUGGCAUCCUGCUCCCACUGUCUCCUCAAGCUCGCUGGAUAAAGCUCAGGCCUGACUACUCUGCCAGAAAAAAAGAAGACAUCCAAAGAUAUGGACAUGGUUGGACAGAGAUCCUCCAGAAAGUGGUGUCAAGUUUGUGUGUCCCUUUGAGAGUACCACCUCCAGAAAGAGCAGCUCAAUCAGUUUUCUGGACUCUGAUCUACCAAAUAAUCAUGACUUUCUUUGUGUGUAUGUGUGUGACAGGGUGAGUGAGGGGGGUGGAGUUAAUGCCUUCCAUCCUUGACGGGGAGACAGGAGCUGCAGAGGCACCCAGAGUCCAAAAGGAAAGCUACUGACACUCCCCAUCGUCUCCUCCCCACUCAGUGCAUCUUCAUCAUCUUCUGCCCAGUUUUGGGGUACAUGUGAAGAACAUGCAGGAUUGUUGCAUAGGUACGUACAUGGCAAUGUGGUUUGCUGCCUUCCUCCCCAUCACCAAUAUCUGGCAUAUCUCCCCAUGUUAUCCGUCCCCAACUCCCCACCCACCACUGACCCUCCCCUAGUUUCCUAUCCACAGACCUCAGUGUGUGAUGCUCCUCUCCCUGUGUCCAUGUGUUCAUUUUUUAUUUUUAUUGUUUUUAAUUGUACUUUAGGUUCUGGGGUAUA